GAUACAGUAUUUUUGUCAUUGUAGUAAUCAAUACACUUACAUCACAUCGUUGCAGAGUGUUUUGUGUUUUUAUACAUCCUUAUUGUCUUUUGGUGGAUAUGUUUCUAUGCGCCUAGAAGCAAUUAUUAAUAGAAACAUUAUCAAGCCUAGAAAAUGUAUUUUAUCUUUAUAAUGGUGGUCAUUUUCUAAAAGAUCAUUUUAGGGCAAGCUACAAAAUCUUGUCCUGGAAUAAGUGACCUUUAAAAAGAUUUGGUCGUAGGAUACACUCUGAUUGUUUUUUGUAUUGGAAGCAGAUUGUUAGCUCCGCCUGGAGUCUCAUUCCAAAAUAUAUCGACCUGAAAAAAUACAAAGUGUCAUUUCAUCAAUCUUGUCCAUCUUGUGUUCUUCCUCCUCUUGCAGGAAUCUACAGAAGUAUGUCUACGAGGAGGCUCAGAAGAGGAUGGUGUUGUCACGGCAACAGAAGUUCAACGAGAAGCACUGUAUCUGUUGUUUCUCAUCGUUCGGGUUCAUCUUAAAUAGGAAGAUACAAUGUCAGGUGUGCCAGUUUUUUAUCUGCAAAAACUGCAGAGCUAAGUCGGAGAAAAAGGAGGACAUCUUAUGUAUUGCAUGUAUACAACAACAAGAACUUCAGGUACGAGCAUGUGAGUGGUUCUAUGCCCAGAUCAGAGCAAAAUUCAGACGAUUCGGCAGUGCCAAAGUUGUACGCUCUCUCUACAAGAGAGAUUCAGAAAGAGGUAGUGGUUCUGAAGAUGAAGAUAGCCACAACAGUGACUCUGGGUUAGGACGUCAGAGGAGCCCUGGUUCGUUAGGAUCUAGCUUUGAUCUCUCAGCUUUCAUGCAAGGCCCAAGAAGUGACCAGGAAACAAACACAGCUGAUGUGUCUUCUAUCCUCGCACAUGGCUCCCCUGAUUACCAAGACUGGCUGGAUCUUCUAAGACCUCCUAUGUCUUCUGUAGCUGUUCAAGCACCUCAUGAUAGACUAGAUGAAGAUUAUUCUAUGGAAGAUUUAAUACAUCCAUCUAAUGCUACAGAAGCGAGAUGUAGUAUACCUGAUAGAUGCACCUGCAGGAGUGGGAAUGGCAGCCCCAGUCUGAUUGUUUAUGAUCCCAAAGGUGACAAGGUCUGUAAAGAGAAAGAGGUCCCACCUCCAGUGGCCAAUGGGCGAGGAGGGGAUGCAAUGCUCUUUCACAUCCUCUCACCCAUCGAGGAGAUGACUUCACCAGAGUGCUCAGACAGGAGCGAAGCAGGAAGCAAGCCAGGGAGCCCUGCGGUCGUCAGUGACUCCCCUCCUCUAGAUACUACUAAGAUGGGUCAGGAUGCAGCUUGUUGUCAUGGUGAUGAUACUAGCAGGGAUUGCACUUUAGUAAAGGAGGGCGAUGAAGAACCUGAUGCAGGUGGUAGUCAUGGCAAUAAUGAAGAUGAGCAAGAGGAGGAGGAGAGUCUCAUAUCCCCGAGGGAGCUUGACUCUGGAAUUCAUCUUGCUUUUUCAAAUUCUAUGGAUAGUGACAUGAAUGGUCCUUGUCCUGAUGCCAUUGAAGCUGAUAAGAUGCUGUCACAGAGACUCAAGAUGCAGAAUAUAGGAUGUUCAGAGUCCUUUGAGAGUGUUUCCAGCACCAGCUUGAGUCUACCCAGCCUAGAUGCCAAUGAUACCCUAGAUAGUCUAGAGACACAUAUCCACUCCUCUCAUAGUGACUUACAUUCACCACCACCUGACAUCCAUGAUGACUUUGAUUCAACAAACAGCACGUUGACGGGCAAAGUGGAGAACACUGAGGAUGAAUGGAAAGUGAGCGAGGCAGAGAAGACCAAUUUGAGCCGUAGCUCCAGUGAAGAUACCUUGAAGAGUGAUGAUGAUGAAGAAGAGGGGUUAGGACCCAGGGAACUAUCAAUGGAAGAGUUCUUGGAUCAAAUCCAAACCAGGUCAUCUUCCAUGACAGAGGAGGAAGGAUCAAAGUAUGAGGAUGAGGAGCAGGAUCCUUCAAGCAAGAGCUUCCAAGAUGGAGAAGGAGGUUGUGCCUCCAGAGAAGAAGAGUCAGAAAACAGGGACCAUGUAUCAUUAAACCUUGAGUUUCAUCCGCGUUCAUUCUACAAACGCUCCAGAUCCAGUGAUGACUUCCGUACCAUGCGAGAUGAGGAUCAGAAUGAUGAUCCAGGAAGCAACAGUGAUGGUGAGGACACAAAAGCAAAGUCAAAAGGCAAGCAUCAUAGAAAUGGCAAAUUAACCUCAAACCGUUUCAUCCGCUACGAUUCGCUCCCUCUGGUCGUUGAGGUCUAUGAAGCAGACAGCAAUAGUCCGUCCUUCUCACCUAACGAUGUAAGCAGAUCUCGCUUUGUCUAUGAUAGCCAAGAUAGCGAGUCUCCUAACAGAGGUUCACCCAAACGUCAAAUGUUCAGUCCAAGCAAGUCAGGGAAGCAUAAUCAACCAAAGAAGAAUAGUCGUCAGAUGUCCGUUGAGUCAACAACAACGGAGAGUACUCUGCCAAAAAGCACACCCAUUUCCUCAGGCCCCACAACACCUGACUUUGAGUGCAAACGUAAGAACAGCCUUUCAACGGUGUCAUCCGAGUCAGAGUGCUCUACAGAUUCACUCAAAAGAGAUAAAAUCCUGUUCACCCGCCAGCUGGUUCAACAACAUAAGGAAUAUCAUCAGUCAGAAGGGAUAAGACCUAGCACAAGUCACAAGAUGCGAAGCCUCAGCCACAGUGAUGCUGAUCCAGCACCCUACAGACACAGAGGGGGGACGUCCAGCAAUGGACAGCUUCAGAGGCAAAUGUCUCUUCCAAGGCAGAGCAGCUUGCAUGAUGAUGAAGAAGAAAUCCUGGCAGGAUACAGGAGACUAAAACAACAUGAAAAGACAUCUCAGGGCGUGGCUGAAGCUGAAAAGGAUGUAAGAGAGCAAGAGAGAUUUGAAGACGAGGAAGAAGAGAGAGAUGACAGCUGUGGUUUCUCUAACAGUGAUGAGAUCACUGGUCUCUUGUCUGAACAAGAUAUCUUUGACAGUAGUGACAAUGAGGAGGAUGAGUUUGAGGAUGCAAGCAGUACCCUGACUGAUGACAUUAAUGGCAAUGAAGACAGCAAUCACAAUGAAGACAUUGCCAGUAUUCGGGAUACAGAUGGAGCAAGCAAAGCGUCUUCCCAAGAAGAGCAACACUUAGAGGAAAGCCUAUCAGAAAGCUUCCAUGCAUGCUUUGAGAAUCAGUGUUCUCCGUCAUGUCAGGACUCUGAGGAAGUGAAUGACGCUCCUGCAGACACCUUUGAUGCAAGUAGCUUUAAGGAUGAUAUCACUGCACUUCAAGAAGAUGGCGCUCAUCUUGAUAGUCAGAAUUUGAAUGCCUCAUUCCACAAUGACGAAGUAUGCAAUGACAACGAGACAAAGCAAGAGGAUGAAAGUGACAAUAUCAAUAGUAUCUCUCUUCAAGAAUCAUCUGGGAUUGAUGGAGCUGAAGCUGAUGCAGUGAGUGAUGAGAAUGAUGAGGAGGAGGGUGGUGAAGGGAAAGAGGAGAUGUCCUCAAGGAUGUUAAAAAGGAAGGAAGAAGCUGACCUUGCAAACCUGACCUACAAGCUGGCUAUCAAGCAGGGUGAGGUACUUCAGUCAGCUGAAGAGGUGCUUUCAUCAGCAAAUCAGAUGUCCAACAUCCAGCAUGAAGUAGAUGCUCUUGAUUGCAUCCUGACUUCACUGGAAAGGAAGGUUGCUAAAGGAGUACUUUCCAGUCAGACCAGCAGUGAAUAUGAAGAUUCUGAAGGAGGAGACUUGGAUGUCAGUCCACAGGAGCUUGUGAAGGAGGACCUCUGUGACCUAGAAGUACAACUUUCUCAAACAGACGAUGAUAAUCCAGGCUCACAGAUCAAUAUGGCGACAGCUGUGCGUAUGAUCACUGCUACAGCCCUAAAGGUUCUCAAUACCACCGAAGCAGCGAUAGAGCUGCAACAAGAUGAUGCUGUUCUACAUGCUCCACUCAGGGACAACAUCAUCUUUGAUCAGGAAGACAAGGAGGUGGAGGAGGAGGAGGAAGAAGGAGAAGAGGAUUAUGAUGAUGAGUAUGAAGGGGAGGAGGAAGGAGACAGUAACAGUGACUUGAAUAUUUUCUCAGAUCUGUGUGAUGACCUCUUUUUUGAGAGUGACUCUGUUGAGGAUGGUUACCUGCUGAGAUCAGUAGCUGAUGUAUUGAUCGAUAAUGACAACAAUGUCUUCCAUUGUGGACUAGAACCAUGUGAUGAUGUUGAUGGUGAACUUAGCGUAGAGAAGGAUCGGAAUGCCAAUGCUGUGCGUUUGUCACCACAGAAAAGACUUUGUGACGGUAGGUGUGGGAGUGAAUUAUGCCGAAUGUCUGCAGCUCUUGGCAAAACUGCAGGAAGCAAAUCCCAGGCAUCGGAGAGAAACAGGCCUCAAGAUGAUGCCCAACACAGGAGUGUGUCCCAACACCCUGGUGAAAGGGAUACUGGCAAAGACUUUAGGGAAAGGAAGGGAGUACUAAAGGAUUCACUCAAACUCACUCUUCCCAGUACAAAGCCCCAGGAGGUGGAGAAGAGGAAACAGACUGCCGGAGGUGAUAAGAGUGCCACGCCCAGCUCGGCAUCCUCCAAGUCCAAGUCUCCAGAGGCUACUAUAUCUCCAGGAUCCCGACACUCCUCGAGUCCCUCCUCAGGUCCAAUCCUGCAUCUCACCUCUGGACCCACAUCCCCACCGACGGCAACCCUUCUUUUCUCAUCCGAUGAGUUGGUCUGGGAUUCUGCAGUCCCUGUGAGCAGCUCAGACUCAGAGUCAAUGCCACCUACAGAGAUGGUUCCUGAUGAAGGAAAAAACCCAAGAGAUGCUGCCAGAGUGGAAAUUUUAGAUUUCACACCUAGUCCUUCCAAGAGGCACAAAUCUGAGGUGUCUGUCUUUGAGAGUUCCUUCACCCCUACAAAUGGAGACAGUGACUUUAGCCCGGACUUCCUCUCGGCAUUUUACGAUCGUGUCUCAGAACUUGAAGAGAGGGUGUACCUAUCAGCAGGGAAGGUCUUCACCCUUGAGGAGCGAUUAGAGCAGCUUGAGAUGGAGGUCAACUCUGUAGACUGUACCCUUCCAGAUGACAUCAUGGCCAUUCUAGAGGAUAAGGUGGCCCUGACGGUAGCUCAGGUCCAGCAGUGUGAGAGAGAGGUGCACACGGUAGAGGACAACAUCUCCGGCCUAGACCACACCCAAGAUGGCAUCUUCUCUACCAUGUACAGUGUAGAUCACAUCCCCACCACGCCCAGGAAACUAGAGAACAUCUCAUCGGCUUCAUUCCUUCUCAAUCACCCUGCCUUAAAGCUGAAUCCUUUGAAUGACUUUAGCUUGGUGCAAAUUGAGAUUCCUGGAAACAGAAGGAGACUGAACUCAUCGGCCUCUGAUGGAGACAUCGUUGCUUCCCCUCUCUCCUCUCCAGGCCCAUUAGACGAGACUGAUGGGGGCGCUCUAACAGAUAUGGACGACGGAGUUGUAGUCUACACGUGGGGCAAUAUAAAAGUUACUGAUAUAUUGUCGGUCAAAGAAGAGGCGUAGAGGCUCGCUUGCUCAAACUCUGUUUAAUUUGCAGCUUUAUAUGAUUUUGAAAAAUGAAAUUGAUGAUGAGAUACAUGGUCAUGGAGGCCCUCUAGAGAUGAUGGAUGAAACGAGUUCACAAGCAGUUGAAGUCACCCACUAAGUAGAUGUCAACAAACUUUCAAGUAGACAUGUCAACGAACUAUUUAACCCACCUGAAUUUUUACCCAAGCUAUGCGGAAAGCAUGUCACUGCUGUAGAUGAAGGAUUUAGACGAUCCUGUUGAUCAGAUUUUUAUGAACAUUUGUUGUUUGGUUCAGAUGUGUGUCAGCUGCAUUAAAUGCAAUUGUUUUUUAUUACUAUGUGCAAAUGAG